GGGCUCGUAGCUCAGCUUGGUAGAGCAGCGGACUCUUAAUCCGCGUGUCGUGGGUUCCAGCCAGCAAUCCCA
rnacentral:tRNA from 2 species